CACGUAGCCUUAACCGCUUCAGGCAACGGCUGCUUAUGAGGAAUAACAGCAACAAUGAAGUGGGUACAAGCAACACCGGUGUUCUGGCUGUCAAUCAAGACCGGGGUGCUUUGCUAAGGAGCAGGGGGAGCACCUUAGAGCAAAGUUGUCUGAGAUUGAAGCUCAAGCAAAGUCUGACCUCGAGUAUGCCAGAUCGCAUGGAGUUAUCAAACCUAGAGAGGCGAGGCCUGGCUGUACUGGAGUUGACUGUCCACAUGGAGGCAAUGACGAGGAGAGGAAGGAUCGUGUGUGCAACUUAGCUGCGGCUGCGCUGGCUGUAGUGGAGCAAGCUAUGGACAAUCCAGAACUCUUUGAAGGAAUAUUUGACCAGGCCAGAGCGGUGCUUUCGGGACUAGGUGUUGAAGGAUAUACCGAAGAUGUACCUCAGAUGAAUGGAAACGGCAACAAUACACCACAACGUGAAGAGAAUGAUGGGAUCAAUUGGGAAGAUCUAGAGAGGGAGAGCCAGGAACUUGUGGAAGUGGGAAACUGUUAGCCAUGCACUGAUGCACAACUGACCAUCAUCGCCCCUGCUGUCAAUGGUGAUAGCGUUAGCUCAGGGGCUCCUUAUCAUGGAGGGCGUGGAGGAAAUACACGACAGGGUGAUGUGGACAGCAGCAGGAAAUGUCGGUAGAUGGAGGUAUGAUUUCUAUGGUUAAUUUCCUGUACUGGUCUGAAAGCGUUGCACACGAAAAAGGGCAUAUGAAAAAAGCUAAGACUUCCUUCUUGUGUUUCAACAACUGGUAAUGAUUUGAUGGGCGUAUCAUCGCUGGCACCAAGUGAUUAUAUGUAAGAAGAAGAGGAUGGAAUAGAGUUGGACGAUGAGUUCCUGGCUGUGGCAACGCAGGUGCCCAUAGAUUACACAAUGCAUAGCGAGGAACUAAAUAAUGAAAACAAUUUGUUUGGCCUGAAUAACUUAAGGGACAUGCUUGCUGCACUGAAUACAUGCAUCAGAUGGAUAGCAUGGAUAGCAGCAACGAUGUGGUUGGGAGCGCAAGGCCGGGAGAUGAUGAAGAUGAAGACCCUCCUCCCAAUGGGCCAAUCUUAUUGGGUUGGCGUGGCACUGAAUACUGAGAAGAUGCCCGUCCCAGCAGACAAGAACUUCUUGACCGAGUCCAGCAUGCGACCCGUCCGCACGCACUAGAUGUUCAGACAUCAUGUCGUUCUGCACCUUCCUUUCAUCGUGAUGGCAGAGAUGGUGGUGACGAUCAACCUCCUGGGAGUGGGAUGACAUUGCCAGAGGGUGGGUCAGCGUCUCGCUUUCAUCAAGCAAUUAUCAAGCAUCUUCAUGCCUGUGCACACCAUGAGAAAACACCUACCAGUGUGGAAGCCGGUGAGCAUGCAACCGAGCGUGGUGAUGCAAGAGAGCUUGGACCGCAUGUCACACCUCGUCCGCGAGCCUUGGACGUGCAAACAAAUUGCCGUCCUGGACCUUCAUUCCGUCGUGAUGGUGCUGAUGGCGGCGACAGGAAGGCUCCUACCAAGAUGUUGCCAUCUGGAGCUGGUGGUUCAACCUCUCGUUUCCAGCAAGCAGUUCAGAACUAUCUGCAACGAUGUGGGAUUAAAUACACAGUGAAUACCACGGGUAAAACACAUGAUGUAGCGCGUGAAGAUGGAUACACAAAUGAGAAGAUCACUGUUAGGAGAGAUUGGGGGGAUAAGUACCCCCCCCCCUCAAUUGGCCUGAACCAUAGGGAACCUCCAGCUGCGGCCAUCUCCAAAUUUAAUAGUAACAUGCUAGCAUGUGAAGGUGGAAUGCUGAAAAGGAAAUGGGUUAAACACUACUGUCCAAUUCUUGCGGUGGCAUCUGGGCAGGAUAUCAAGAUGAACUGACCCGGGGGGGGGA